rnacentral:lncRNA from 1 species
CUGUAUCCAGGUGACGUGGGGCUGUAGGCAGGGGAUGUAGGGCUAUAUGAUGGGGAGGUCGGGCUGUAAGAGGGUGAUGUGGGGCUGUAGGAAGGUGAAGUAGGACUAUAUGAAGGUGAUGUAGGACUGUAGGAAGGUGAAGUCGGACUAUAAGCAGGUGAAGUGGGGCUAUAGGCAGGUGAAGUGGGGCUGUAUGCAGGUGAAGUGGGGCUGUAGCUGGGAGAUGUGGGGCUAUAACUGGGUGAUGUGGGGCUGUAGCUGGGUGACGUGGGGCUAUAGCUGGGUGAUGUGGGAGAGUAGGAUGGACUGGUAGGCGAAUAAGCCGGACUUGUAGGACUAUAUCCUGGAGAACUAGGGCUAUAUGUCGGAGAGGUCGGACUGUAACCUGGUGAUGUAGGGCUGUAGCCCGGAGAUGUGGGACUGUACCCAGGUGAUGUGGGGCUGUACCCAGGCGAUGAUGGACUAUAGCCUGGGGAUGAUGGACUGUACCCAGGAGAUGAGGUGGGAGAAAAUGCCAUCCCACCAACAUAAGGUGAAAAUUGGGCAUCCGAUGUGGGAGACAGACGCAAAUUUGGACUC